GUUGAACGCUGGCGGCAUGCCUUACACAUGCAAGUCGAACGGCAGCACGGAGCUUGCUCUGGUGGCGAGUGGCGAACGGGUGAGUAAUAUAUCGGAACGUACCCAAGAGUGGGGGAUAACGUAGCGAAAGUUACGCUAAUACCGCAUACGAUCUAAGGAUGAAAGCAGGGGAUCGCAAGACCUUGUGCUCCUGGAGCGGCCGAUAUCUGAUUAGCUAGUUGGUGAGGUAGAGGCUCACCAAGGCAUCGAUCAGUAGCUGGUCUGAGAGGACGACCAGCCACACUGGAACUGAGACACGGUCCAGACUCCUACGGGAGGCAGCAGUGGGGAAUUUUGGACAAUGGGGGCAACCCUGAUCCAGCAAUGCCGCGUGAGUGAAGAAGGCCUUCGGGUUGUAAAGCUCUUUUGUCAGGGAAGAAACGGUCGUGGCUAAUAUCCAUGGCUAAUGACGGUACCUGAAGAAUAAGCACCGGCUAACUACGUGCCAGCCGCCGCAGUAA
rnacentral:rRNA from 1 species